rnacentral:lncRNA from 10 species
GGCGGAUCACUUGAGUCCAGGAGUUCUAGACCAGCCUAGACAACAUAGUGAGACCUUGUCUUUCCAAAAUAAUACAAAAAUCAGCCAGGUUUGGUGGAAUGUGCCUGUAAUUCCAGCUCCUCAGGAGGCUGAGGUGGGAGGACUGCCUGACCCUGGAGAGGCAGAGACUGCAGUGAGCUGAGAUUGCGCCACUGCGCUCUAGCCGUUUUUUUUUGGUUUGUUUUUGUUUUUCGUUUUUUGUUUUUUGUUUUUUGAGACAGGAUCUCUCUCUGUUGCCCAGGCUGAAGUGUAGUGGUGCGAUCUUGGCACACUGCAGCCUCCACCUCCCCAGGUUCAGGCGAUCCUCCCACCUCAGCCUCCCCAGUAGAUGGGUCUACAGGCAUGUGUCACCAUGCCUAGCUAAUUUUGGUAGAGACAGGAUUUCACCAUGUUGCCCAGGCUGGUCGAAUAAAAAUAUUUGAAUGUUGAUGAGCAUGAACUAUUACAUUAUGGGUCAGAAACAUGAUUAAUAUGUAUAUAUUCCUAAAAUCUACUGUGUCAGAUAGCAUCUAUCAGCUUCAGUAGCGAUAAAGAAUAAUUGCUAAACAGGUAUUAUUAAAACCUUAAAGAGACAGCUAUCUUACUUAUGGCACACAGCAGGCACUCAGUAAACAUUUCUUGAAUGAAUAAAUGUUAUGCUGGCAUUGUAUCUGCUUUGCCAAUCUAAACUGUAUAACUAGUUAACCAAAAUUUAAACUGGACUAUAAAGCUUCUAAAUAUCUUAAAAGGUAUAUAUUGCUGCUUAUGUUAAAAAGAGCCCCCAAAACAUGAACUAAACCAGGAAGGGAUAUUUGACAUAAAACUGGUUUAAGCCAUCAUUCAUGUUGUUUCUAAGAAGUACACUGCCAGAUUCAUUGAAGAAGAAUUGAAUUAGGUGAUGGCAAGCCAGUUGCAAUAAUGAAUGAAAUUUACAGAAAACCUGAGGCAGAGAUGUGGUUCAAAUGAACCAUUUCAACCUGGCCCCAGGUAAGCUCAUGAAACUGGCUUGGUCUAUCUGUGUGGCCCCUAGAUCCCCCCUCACUCCUUCAACCUUUUUUCUAGGCUAACAAUCCCUUCCUGUUUUCUCCACUCUCCCCGUAACUUUUCCAAAUUAUAAAGAACAUAUGUAGUAUGUUGAAAUUAUCACUAAAGAUACUCCUAAUUCGUGUAUCAAAAUAGCCUCAGGGCACAUUCCCCAGAAACAGCAUACCACCCCUGAGUUUAAAUAUGUUCUGGUAUUUUCUCUGGAGGAAACGGCCAUGAUUUCUGGCCUUUAUUUUCUACUUUUAUCCCAAGAGUGUGCUUGCUGAAAGCCCACUUUCCUCCUCAAGUUUUGUACAGGUAGUUAGACAGGACUUGACAUGGAUCUUGUAGGGAGGCAGUGCAAGGAAGUAAGCUCUUUAACAUGUUCAGUAAUCACACAACAGCCUUGAAUUCAGGGAUUAUUUGGUAUGUAAACACAGCUCCUAAAUAACAUUCGCCUAGAAAAGAAGAUAAUCUAAUGCGAAAUGAAUUUCUUUGGCAACUUAUUUAGAAUCUCCUGUUCCUGCAUGAUUAGACCUACCCAUGAUUCUCAUUCUGACCAAUAUUUUACUGCUUCACUGCUAGAGGAUAAAAGAAUGUCACAUUUUUAAUUCAGUACAUUAUAUCCAGUAUAUAUCCAGUAUAUAACUGCUGAGAGGGAUUAAUGAAGACUUAAUAAAUCACUGUGUUACAGCAUAAUACAAGAUAGCCCUUUAAUAUUGUGUAUCUGGAUCUGACAUCUAGAACUGCUGCAGCCAUCUUACAUCCAUGAAGAGAAGAAUAAAAUAAAUUUUUGCUGAACUUUGAGUAUGUGCAUUCAGAUUUGCACACUGUAUAACCCAGAGCUCCAGAAGAUGGAACCAAAGUAACCACUUUUCAGAAAGCUCAUCAGAGUCAGUAGGAAAGCUGCCUGAUGAUAAAUUUGUGCCUCUACUAUCUGGAUUCAACAAACUGACUUGGGGCAUAACAGUCAGCUGUGCCAAACUCUACUGUAACCAACCAACUUUGAGCUGACAAUCCAAGGGGUUGUUUAAACCAAGCAAUCAUUUUUCCUUGUGAAAAUGUGUGAUUUCUGCUUUUAGAGGUCCCAUCCUUGCCUUUGGUUGGAGACACAGGCUUCAGAAAUCUGUGCUUCCUUUUAUAUACCUAUAAACGCGUAAAUACUCAAGACUUUACACUAAAAUUGUAUUCAAAUUAUAUCUUUUCAGCUAAAAACUUACUCUGCCCCAGAAUUUCUAUUUUUCUUUUGUUUGGAACUCAAAACUGAUAUACCAACGAUGGCAAAGCAGAAAGAACCUGGUUCCCUGAUGAUAUCCUUGUUACUAACUAAGAGCGCUCCUACCUCUGGACUUGUUGUUAUGUGAUAUAAUAAAUUUCUUUUUUGGUUUGGGCCACAUUCAGUUGGGUUUUCUCUUAUUUGUACCAAAAGUAAAAGAACUGAUAUACCUUAUUUUAUUGCUCCAUCAAAAAGAGUGUCUCCC